rnacentral:rRNA from 1 species
UACGUAGGGGGCAAGCGUUGUUCGGAUUUACUGGGCGUAAAGGGCGCGUAGGCGGCCACCGCAAGUCGACUGUGAAAUCUCCGGGCUUAACCCGGAAAGGUCAGCCGAUACUGCGGAGCUAGAGUGCAGAAGGGGCAACUGGAAUUCUCGGUGUAGCGGUGAAAUGCGUAGAUAUCGAGAGGAACACCUGCGGCGAAGGCGGGUUGCUGGGCUGACACUGACGCUGAGGCGCGAAAGCUAGGGGAGCGAACGGG